GGGGGAUAUUGCACAAUGGAGGAAACUCUGAUGCAGCAACGCCGCGUGAGGGAAGAAGGUCUUCGGAUUGUAAACCCCUGUCCUCAGGGACGAUAAUGACGGUACCUGAGGAGGAAGCUCCGGCUAACUACGUGCCAGCAGCCGCGGUAAUACGUAGGGAGCAAGCGUUGUCCGGAUUUACUGGGUGUAAAGGGUGCGUAGGCGGCUCUGCAAGUCAGGUGUGAAAACCAUCGGCUUAACUGAUGGACUGCAUUUGAAACUGUGGGGCUUGAGUGAAGUAGAGGCAGGCGGAAUUCCCGGUGUAGCGGUGAAAUGCGUAGAGAUCGGGAGGAACACCAGUGGCGAAGGCGGCCUGCUGGGCUUUAACUGACGCUGAGGCACGAAAGCAUGGGUAGCAAAC
rnacentral:rRNA from 1 species